UACGUAGGGUGCAGGCGUUAAUCGGAAUUACUGGGCGUAAAGCGUGCGCAGGCGGUUUGCUAAGACAGGUGUGAAAUCCCCGGGCUUAACCUGGGAACUGCGCUUGUUACUGGCAGGCUUGAGUGUGGCAGAGGGGGGUGGAAUUCCGACGUGUAGCAGUGAAAUGCGUAGAGAUGUGGAGGAACACCGAUGGCGAAGGCAGCCCCCUGGGCUAACACUGACGCUGAGAAGCGAAAGCAUGGGGAGCGAACAGGA
rnacentral:rRNA from 1 species